CGGCUAACUACGUGCCAGCAGCCGCGGUAAUACGUAUGGUGCAAGCGUUAUCCGGAUUUACUGGGCGUAAAGGGAGCGUAGACGGAUGGGCAAGUCUGAUGUGAAAACCCGGGGCUCAACCCCGGGACUGCAUUGGAAACUGUUCAUCUAGAGUGCUGGAGAGGUAAGUGGAAUUCCUAGUGUAGCGGUGAAAUGCGUAGAUAUUAGGAGGAACACCAGUGGCGAAGGCGGCUUACUGGACAGUAACUGACGUUGAGGCUCGAAAGUGUGGGUAUCAAACAGGAUUAGAUACCCUGGUAGUCCACACGGUAAACGAUGAAUACUCGCUGUUUGCGAUAUACGGCAAGCGGCCAAGCGAAAGCGUUAAGUAUUCCACCUGGGGAGUACGCCGGCAACGGUGAAACUCAAAGGAAUUGACGGGGGCCCGCACAAGCGGAGGAACAUGUGGUUUAAUUCGAUGAUACGCGAGGAACCUUACCCGGGCUUAAAUUGCACUCGAAUGAUCCGGAAACGGUUCAGCUAGCAAUAGCGAGUGUGAAGGUGCUGCAUGGUUGUCGUCAGCUCGUGCCGUGAGGUGUCGGCUUAAGUGCCAUAACGAGCGCAACCCUUAUUGUCAGUUACUAACAGGUGAUGCUGAGGACUCUGACAAGACUGCCAUCGUAAGAUGUGAGGAAGGUGGGGAUGACGUCAAAUCAGCACGGCCCUUACGUCCGGGGCUACACACGUGUUACAAUGGGGGGUACAGAGGGCCGCUACCACGCGAGUGGAUGCCAAUCCCUAAAACCCCUCUCAGUUCGGACUGGAGUCUGCAACCCGACUCCACGAAGCUGGAUUCGCUAGUAAUCGCGCAUCAGCCACGGCGCGGUGAAUACGUUCCCGGGCCUUGCACACACCGCCCGUCAAG
rnacentral:rRNA from 1 species